rnacentral:rRNA from 1 species
AAUGAACGCUGGCGGCGUGCUUAACACAUGCAAGUUGAGCGGUAAGGCACCUUCGGGUGUACACGAGCAGCGAACGGGAGCGUAACGCGUGGGUAACCUACCCAGAAGUGGGGGAUAGCCCCGGGAAACCGGGGGUAAUACCGCAUGUGCCUGGGUCGACACAAGUCGAUUCAUGAAAAGGCGGGGAUCUUCGGACCUGUCGCUUCUGGAUGGGCCCGCGUCCGAUUAGCUAGUUGGUGAGGUAACGGCUCACCAAGGCUUCGAUCGGUAGCCGGCCUGAGAGGGUGAACGGCCUCAUUGGGACUGAGACACGGCCCAGACUCCUACGGGAGGCAGCAGUGGGGAAUUUUGGGCAAUGGGCGCAAGCCUGACCCAGCGACGCCGCGUGGAGGAUGAAGGCCUUCGGGUUGUAAACUCCUGUCAGGUGGGAAGAAAUGCCCGUCGGUUAAUACCCGGCGGGAACUGACGGUACCACCAAAGGAAGCCCCGGCUAACUCCGUGCCAGCAGCCGCGGUAAUACGGAGGGGGCAAGCGUUAUUCGGAUUUACUGGGCGUAAAGCGCACGUAGGCGGCUAUGUAAGUCGCAGGUGAAAGCCCUCGGCUCAACCGAGGAACUGCCUGCGAAACUGCGUAGCUUGAGUCCGGGAGGGGGGAGCGGAAUUCCCAGUGUAGCGGUGAAAU